UAUCUCUGAACCUGCUCAAUCCAUAAUCAAACCCAGCACAGUGUCGCGGACCAGCCACACUCUCUGAGGAGCUCUCAUGUUGUCAGUCUAGCCUGCAAUAUGUCAGACUGACUCUAACGGAACAAACUUGGAGAGAUAAAAACAAAGGUCAAGUAGUGCGGAUUGAAGACGAAGUUGAAGGUGUGGAAUGGGUUAACGGCGGAAGGCCUCGCCUCACCUUUAGUGCGCGUCACCCGGCUCCGUAAAGUGGCCCGACCAGCCACACCAAAAGGGGGCAAAUCACCGCCUCUCGCCUCCGCCAGACGCGCACCCUCGCCUCGGUCGGUCUCACAUCAUCCCGUCGGUCUCCGCCCCGCCGCUCCAUCACCACACACAGCCACAAGACAUCGGGAACUGGAGGAAUACGAGUGAUUUACCGGAGCCAUGAAGGACCGCAUGCAAGAACUUAAACAUGGGAAGGAGACGACAGAGGAGGAGGAUGAAGUCGCUGUGGGGAUGGACAAAGGCUUUAUGGAUGAAUUCUUUGAACAGGUGGAGGAGAUCCGGGGUUUUAUCGAAUCUCUGGCAGAGAAGGUUGAGGAGGUGAAGAGGAAGCACAGCGCCAUCCUCGCUUCACCUAACCCAGAUGAGAAAACUAAGGCCGAGCUGGAGGAUCUCAUGGCAGACAUCAAGAAGUUUGCCAACAAAAUACGCUCCAAAUUAAAGAGUAUUCAGCAAACCAUUGAACAAGAAGAAAGCCAGAACAAGGCAUCAGCUGACCUGAGGAUACGCAAGACACAGCACUCCACACUGUCCCGUAAGUUUGUCGAGGUGAUGUCAGAAUACAACACCACCCAGUCAGACUACAGGGAGCGCUGCAAGGGACGCAUUCAGAGACAGCUGGAGAUCACUGGGAGAAACACAACAAAUGAGGAGCUGGAGAGCAUGUUGGAGAGUGACAACCCUGCUAUCUUUACCUCGGGGAUCAUUAUGGACAACAUCACCGAGCAAGCUAUGAAUGAGAUUGAGACACGGCACAAUGAAAUCAUCAAGCUGGAAAACAGCAUCAGAGAGCUUCACGACAUGUUCAUGGACAUGGCCAUGCUGGUGGAGAGCCAGGGGGAAAUGAUAGACCGCAUAGAGUACAAUGUGGAGCACUCAGUAGACUAUGUGGAGAGGGCAGUAUCAGACACUAAGAAGGCGGUUAAAUACCAGAGUAAAGCCCGGAGGAAGAAAAUUAUGAUUAUCAUAUGCUGUGUGAUUCUGGGAGUUGUCAUUGCUUCUAUUGUUGGGGGAACGCUGGCAUAAACGUCAACCACAGUCGCACUCAUAGACACACAACGGAACAAGAUACAACAGAUUUACAUUUUUAGUUUCCUGUUUUCAUAAAUGCAAUCUAGGUGCAUUAUAUUGUACGACACAUUUUACACACGGCAUACAGGGCCAGAGGUGUUUUCGCAUGAGUUGCUAUUUUGUAAAUGUGUGGUGCUGCAAACUGUUUAUCUGAGUGUUGAGUGUUGUCAACGAUAAGAUGUUUCCAAAAGUGAAUUCCUGAAUUUACUAAAUAUGUAACACUAUACUAAUACAUUCCAACUUCCAAAUAUGACAUUUAUUCAGUUGUGAUGUCUAUUUUGUGUUGUAAAGGGAAAGUUAUUGGCCACUAAUCUGCAGUGUUUUUAUAAAGCCACAUUAUCUAUAGAUCUACUGUAUAUCUUUAUUUACUUAAUCUUUUCUUUUAACGUUCUCUCUCUAAUGUCCUCUACCUCCCAUCAAAAGCCCUGCAUGGUUUAGUUCACUGUAAAGUAGUUUUUUAUUUUCUAAUGCAAAGGGGACAGACAACAUGUUGGAUAGUUAGCUCAUCACAAUGCCAAACAUUUUCUUGUCAUAUCUUGUAGUUCACAGAAGCCAUGCUGUUGUAUUAAACUUCAUCUGGCCUAACCAGUUGUGCAGCAUUUCUGGCCGGCUGCUCCAGUGUUGCGUGAGCAUGGGGAAGAGGAUAUAUGUGUGUUUAUUUGUAGCUACAUGUUUGAACGUGCUGAGUGUGAGUUGUGGGAUGAAAACAUGAGUGCUUGUUAUUAGCCACCUGUGUCUUUGUUUUGUAUUAAACUGUAAACUGAUAUAAAGCUAUCUAACACUGCCAGUAUGUUCAAAAAAGAUGUUAUAAAUUGAGUCUAGUCAGGUUUGGAUUGAUAAUUCUGGUCUGUAAGUGACAAACUGUUGUUUUAUGUCUUUUUAUAAACCCGAGCUUUAAGCAUAUUCUUUGUCGAGCUACUUCACUGUUCAUUUUCAUGAGUGAACAUGAGUCAGUGAAAGUGUCAGCAUGAACUCAAAGUAGCCGUGUAAAAAAAAAACUCUCCUUUCUGUUUUCAGACAUGCACAGAGACUGCAAACAUGUUACCAUGUUGCCUACUCAACUUGUUGCCUUUGUGGUGUAUUGUGAUAAAAUGGUUUGGUUUUCUUUACGUUCGUUUUGUUUUUUCAAGUAAAGAUUGUCUGAAAAAUU